GACAGAGGAGCCAAGCGUUGUCCGGAUUGACUGGGCGUAAAGCGCACGCAGGUGGUGGGGCAAGUGCCGUGUGAAAGCCGGUGGCUUAACUGCCGGAGGCCACAGCAGACUGCCUGACUUGAGCCCGAGAGAGGUCCGUGGAAUUGCCGGUGUAGUGGUGAAAUGCGUAGAGAUCCGGAGGAACCCCAGAGGCGAAGGCGGCGCUCUGGCUCGCAACUGACGCUCAGACACGACAGCAUGGGGAGCGAACGGG
rnacentral:rRNA from 1 species